rnacentral:rRNA from 1 species
GAUGAACGCUGGCGGCGUGCCUAAUACAUGCAAGUCGAGCGAACAGACGAGGAGUUUGCUCCUCUGACGUUAGCGGCGGACGGGUGAGUAACACGUGGAUAACCUACCUAUAAGACUGGGAUAACUUCGGGAAACCGGAGCUAAUACCGGAUAAUAUAUUGAACCGCAUGGUUCAAUAGUGAAAGACGGUUUUGCUGUCACUUAUAGAUGGAUCCGCGCCGCAUUAGCUAGUUGGUAAGGUAACGGCUUACCAAGGCAACGAUGCGUAGCCGACCUGAGAGGGUGAUCGGCCACACUGGAACUGAGAAACGGUCCAGACUCCUACGGGAGGCAGCAGUAGGGAAUCUUCCGAAAUGGGCGAAAGCCUGACGGAGCAACGCCGCGUGAGUGAUGAAGGUCUUCGGAUCGUAAAACUCUGUUAUUAGGGAAGAACAAAUGUGUAAGUAACUAUGCACGUCUUGACGGUACCUAAUCAGAAGGCCACGGCUAACUACGUG